rnacentral:rRNA from 1 species
CUACGGGAGGCUGCAGUGGGGAAUAUUGGACAAUGGGCGAAAGCCUGAUCCAGCCAUGCCGCGUGUGUGAAGAAGGCCUUCGGGUUGUAAAGCACUUUCAGUGGGGAAGAAAGCCUUGGGGCUAAUACCCUCGAGGAAGGACAUCACCCACAGAAGAAGCACCGGCUAACUCCGUGCCAGCAGCCGCGGUAAUACGGAGGGUGCGAGCGUUAAUCGGAAUUACUGGGCGUAAAGCGCGCGUAGGCGGUCUGAUAAGCCGGUUGUGAAAGCCCCGGGCUCAACCUGGGAACGGCAUCCGGAACUGUCAGGCUAGAGUGCAGGAGAGGAAGGUAGAAUUCCCGGUGUAGCGGUGAAAUGCGUAGAGAUCGGGAGGAAUACCAGUGGCGAAGGCGGCCUUCUGGACUGACACUGACGCUGAGGUGCGAAAGCGUGGGUAGCAAACAGGAUUAGAUACCCCGGUAGUC